GGGAAACCCAGUGUGAUUCGUCACACUAUCAUUAACUGAAUCCAUAGGUUAAUGAGGCGAACCGGGGGAACUGAAACAUCUAAGUACCCCGAGGAAAAGAAAUCAACCGAGAUUCCCCCAGUAGCGGCGAGCGAACGGGGAGGAGCCCAGAGCCUGAAUCAGCAUGUGUGUUAGUGGAAGCGUCUGGAAAGGCGCGCGAUACAGGGUGACAGCCCCGUACACAAAAGCGCAUGUGCUGUGAGCUCGAUGAGUAGGGCGGGACACGUGGUAUCCUGUCUGAAUAUGGGGGGACCAUCCUCCAAGGCUAAAUACUCCUGACUGACCGAUAGUGAACCAGUACCGUGAGGGAAAGGCGAAAAGAACCCCGGCGAGGGGAGUGAAAAAGAACCUGAAACCGUGUACGUACAAGCAGUGGGAGCACAGGUUUACCUGUGUGACUGCGUACCUUUUGUAUAAUGGGUCAGCGACUUAUAUUCUGUAGCAAGGUUAACCGAAUAGGGGAGCCGGAGGGAAACCGAGUCUUAAUUGGGCGUUAAGUUGCAGGGUAUAGACCCGAAACCCGGUGAUCUAGCCAUGGGCAGGUUGAAGGUUGGGUAACACUAACUGGAGGACCGAACCGACUAAUGUUGAAAAAUUAGCGGAUGACCUGUGGCUGGGGGUGAAAGGCCAAUCAAACCGGGAGAUAGCUGGUUCUCCCCGAAAGCUAUUUAGGUAGCGCCUCGUGAAUUCAUCUCCGGGGGUAGAGCACUGUUUCGGCUAGGGGGCCAUCCCGGCUUACCAACCCGAUGCAAACUGCGAAUACCGGAGAAUGUUAUCACGGGAGACACACGGCGGGUGCUAACGUCCGUCGUGAAGAGGGAAACAACCCAGACCGCCAGCUAAGGUCCCAAAGUCAUGGUUAAGUGGGAAACGAUGUGGGAAGGCCCAGACAGCCAGGAUGUUGGCUUAGAAGCAGCCAUCAUUUAAAGAAAGCGUAAUAGCUCACUGGUCGAGUCGGCCUGCGCGGAAGAUGUAACGGGGCUAAACCAUGCACCGAAGCUGCGGCAGCGACGCUUAUGCGUUGUUGGGUAGGGGAGCGUUCUGUAAGCCUGUGAAGGUGUGUCGUGAGGCAUGCUGGAGGUAUCAGAAGUGCGAAUGCUGACAUAAGUAACGAUAAAGCGGGUGAAAAGCCCGCUCGCCGGAAGACCAAGGGUUCCUGUCCAACGUUAAUCGGGGCAGGGUGAGUCGACCCCUAAGGCGAGGCCGAAAGGCGUAGUCGAUGGGAAACGGGUUAAUAUUCCCGUACUUGGUGUUACUGCGAAGGGGGGACGGAGAAGGCUAUGUUGGCCGGGCGACGGUUGUCCCGGUUUAAGCGUGUAGGUGUGUGUUCCAGGUAAAUCCGGUUCACUUUAACACUGAGGCGUGAUGACGAGGCACUACGGUGCUGAAGUAACAAAUGCCCUGCUUCCAGGAAAAGCCUCUAAGCAUCAGGUAACAUCAAAUCGUACCCCAAACCGACACAGGUGGUCAGGUAGAGAAUACCAAGGCGCUUGAGAGAACUCGGGUGAAGGAACUAGGCAAAAUGGUGCCGUAACUUCGGGAGAAGGCACGCUGACACGUAGGUGAAGUGAUUUACUCAUGGAGCUGAAGUCAGUCGAAGAUACCAGCUGGCUGCAACUGUUUAUUAAAAACACAGCACUGUGCAAACACGAAAGUGGACGUAUACGGUGUGACGCCUGCCCGGUGCCGGAAGGUUAAUUGAUGGGGUCAGCGCAAGCGAAGCUCCUGAUCGAAGCCCCGGUAAACGGCGGCCGUAACUAUAACGGUCCUAAGGUAGCGAAAUUCCUUGUCGGGUAAGUUCCGACCUGCACGAAUGGCGUAAUGAUGGCCAGGCUGUCUCCACCCGAGACUCAGUGAAAUUGAACUCGCUGUGAAGAUGCAGUGUACCCGCGGCAAGACGGAAAGACCCCGUGAACCUUUACUAUAGCUUGACACUGAACAUUGAGCCUUGAUGUGUAGGAUAGGUGGGAGGCUUUGAAGU
rnacentral:rRNA from 1 species